rnacentral:rRNA from 1 species
UACGUAGGGUGCGAGCGUUAAUCGGAAUUACUGGGCGUAAAGCGUGCGCAGGCGGUUCGUUGUGUCGGUGGUGAAAUCCCCGGGCUUAACCUGGGAAUGGCCAUGGAAACUGGCGAACUGGAGUGCGGCAGAGGGGGGUGGAAUUCCGCGUGUAGCAGUGAAAUGCGCAGAUAUCAGGAGGAACACCGAUGGCGAAGGCAGGUCUCUGGGCCAUAACUGACGCUGAGAAGCGAAAGCAUGGGGAGCGAACAGG